rnacentral:rRNA from 1 species
CACGUAGGGCGCGAGCGUUGUCCGGAAUUAUUGGGCGUAAAGAGCUCGUAGGCGGCCUGUUGCGUCCGCUGUGAAAGCCCGGGGCUUAACCCCGGGUCUGCAGUGGAUACGGGCAGGCUAGAGGUAGGUAGGGGAGAAUGGAGUUCCCGGUGUAGCGGUGAAAUGCGCAGAUAUCGGGAGGAACACCGGUGGCGAAGGCGGUUCUCUGGGCCUUACCUGACGCUGAGGGGCGAAAGCGUGGGGAGCGAACAGG